rnacentral:rRNA from 1 species
GCGUAGUGCGGGGCGGCGGGCGGGGUAACUCGUAGGGGGCGAGCGUUGUCCGGAAGUAGUGGGCGUAAAGAGCUCGUAGGCGGUCUGGUACGUCUGCUGGGAAAACCCAGGGCUUAACCCUGGGCUUGCAGUGGAUACGGGCAGACUAGAGGCAGGUAGGGGAGAAUGGAAUUCCCGGUGUAGCGGUGAAAUGCGCAGAUAUCGGGAGGAACACCGGUGGCGAAGGCGGUUCUCUGGGCCUGACCUGACGCUGAGGAGCGAAAGCGUGGGGAGCGAACAGGAUUAGAUACCCCAGUAGUC